UAGGGAAUCUUCCACAAUGGACGCAAGUCUGAUGGAGCAACGCCGCGUGAGUGAAGAAGGUCUUCGGAUCGUAAAGCUCUGUUGUUGGUGAAGAAGGAUAGAGGCAGUAACUGGUCUUUAUUUGACGGUAAUCAACCAGAAAGUCACGGCUAACUACGUGCCAGCAGCCGCGGUAAUACGUAGGUGGCAAGCGUUGUCCGGAUUUAUUGGGCGUAAAGCGAGCGCAGGCGGAAUGAUAAGUCUGAUGUGAAAGCCCACGGCUCAACCGUGGAACUGCAUCGGAAACUGUCAUUCUUGAGUGCAGAAGAGGAGAGUGGAACUCCAUGUGUAGCGGUGGAAUGCGUAGAUAUAUGGAAGAACACCAGUGGCGAAGGCGGCUCUCUGGUCUGCAACUGACGCUGAGGCUCGAAAGCAUGGGUAGCGAACAGGAUUAGAUACCCUGGUAGUCCAUGCCGUAAACGAUGAGCGCUAGGUGUUGGGGACUUUCCGGUCCUCAGUGCCGCA
rnacentral:rRNA from 1 species